rnacentral:lncRNA from 1 species
GUGCUAUUCUUCAUUACUUGUUUCCUUUUAUGUGAACCAAUAUGAGUACAAGAGGUACUCUACCAUGGAUUUUGGUUCACAGCCCAAAAGGUCUUAGCAAAAAAAGAGAAGAAAUAUAUGUCAAUAAAUGUAGGCUUUUGUUAUAUGAUUCUAGAGGAAUUGAUGAAAUUUGUGGAAAUGUAUUUAUUCCUUUUAACUCCUUGUGAUUUCCUACAACAAUGGAGUCAAGGUGUUUUGAUGUCCCGACACCAAAACAUUUGUGCACAUCUAUGCCAGGCUUUGGAUGAUGAGCAUCGAGUGAGGUGUCUUUCAACUUGAUGUUGAAUUACAUUUACUGGUUGAGGAUCUAAUUUCCUGUGUUUCCGCGGAAGUAUAUGUGAGAUUGUAUCUCUUGUGGUGAGAUUUCUCCCCCUGUUGCUCUCAUUUGGGGAGAAGAGUGGUUUAUAAGGUACCUCCACUCUUUCAGACACUUUACUGCAGCAAUAUAAAAUUGAGUGACACCUUUGUCAUCACUAAAUGUAUGUGGCAGAUUUGCAAUGUGUUACAAAUAUGUGAUUCUAAACUUCUUGUUCACAUUCUUUGAGUACGUAGAUAUAAGGACUGAAUGUGAAUAACAUUUAUAAUUUAUUUCUUGGCACUCUUUGCGGUACUUAUCUCCCCCUAAUGCCAGAAAUAUCCUUAUUGCUGAUGCAAUCACCAUAGGGGCUAUGAAUAAUUUUGAUUGACGGAUAAAUUGUUAUUCCUACAUAAAUCCCUAAUUUUCCGUGAGAGCCCAUUGACGUAUGUUGGAUUGGUGAUAUCGGUAUGUAACCGAAUUAUAGCUGAUAGGAAAUACUUUGUUGAUUUCCACGUAAUUACUACAAGGGGAAAGUAGUAUGCUAUGCAGUUGCUAUGAUUUAUAUCUUACUUACGGCGUGUAAUGUUGUAUUUGUCUAGCAUGAGCCUAGUAAAUUACAAUUCUAUAAGUUUGGUCAUAUUAUUAAUUUCACUAUCUUUGAUAAGAUAUUGAACUAAACCAUUAUGCGUAUGUACAUCAAGUAUUAUAUAUAAUCAGACAUUUCUUGUGAAAUGACUUCAAGGAACUUGUCCAUUCGAAUGGAUUUAUCCCUUGUUUAGGAUAAUUUGCUCUUACUUUAAUAAGUUGAGCGAUUAAUUAGUUAAUACCAUUCAUGGUUGUGUGUGACUAGAGACACACUUGAAAUCAUUUUAUAAAUGUUUCUGUGAGUACCAUGAAGUAUCUCAAUAAUCCCACAUAAUGGUUAAGUAAUCCAUAUAUAUCUUCCGAAUGUGUUCAAGGAAGAUCGAGUGACUUAUUUAGAAUCUUAAGGUGAGGGUGCCUUAAAACUGAUUUCCCCUAUGGCACAUGCGGUGCCCAUAAAAUCUGAUGAUUUAGGAAAUAUCGUAACUCAAAAAGUUAGACCAAUAGAAUUGCCAAUAAUUUUUCUAUUUAACCCCAAACCGGGAUUGUAAGACUUAUAACCAAAUAUGUUGUAAGAUUUUUAAGAAAAAUAUUGUGUACGCAACAAAACAGAGUAUGGAUUGAUACAUACAUUCAAAAAAUUUCAAGUAUAAUGUCUAAGAAAUAGGAUAUUGGACAUCGCACUACAUGUAGUAGCACAAGUAUAGGCUAAUGAUAUUUUGAGAAUAAUUAGGAGAUUACAUGUGGUCUCCCAUAUUACUGAAAAAUUAAUUACACAAACAUAUCAUAGGUGCAAAAUAAUUGAUCAUUCUAUUAUUGCACUAUAUUUUUGGUUCUCCUUCUAAUGAAGAUUUGAGGACAUCAUUUACUAGAAUAUUUUGUGGUUGUAUGUUUGCAAAUUCUCAAAUAUCCCAAUGAACUUAUUUUCCUUUUUAAAUAAAUUUGUGGUGUGGUUUGACUAUAUGAUUGAGGAUUUGGUAAUCAUACGUAUGAUAUUUGUAUACUUACACAUUUGAAAAACUUGAGAGUUAUCGUUGUGAUCGCUUGAAAAACGAUAUAUUCCCCAUUAAGAGGUAAUUUUGUCUUUGCUUGUCUCUUAGCCUCCACUUUACUUUGAAUUCCUCGUGGUUCAUUUUUGUGAUCACUGACUUGCAUAGUAUUAUCAAUACUAGCAAAUAUUUCAAAUAGUGGUAUAACACCCAUUGGGUGAAUCUCAUGAUUUUAAGAAAUUCCAUGUUCCUUCAUCAUGAAAAAUGGUAGCCAUCAUAAUAGAUGUAAAGUGUAUUGAGGGAUUUUCAACCGGAUCUACAUAUUAUAAUAUUUGAUUAUUGGAUCUUAACUUGAAGUUGAUUAAAGACACAAAAUUGUGAGCCGCGAUAGGCUUGAGGUCUUGAAAACUGAAUGGUGGUCAUCCGCUAUGUGCUCAUGGGAGGAUAUAACUCUUAAGGAAAAUAUUCCAGGAUAAAUAAAUAUCCAUAUAUUAUGUACUUAGUUUGAGAACUAAGUGAAGUUGGUGAUAUAUAAAAUGCAUAUGCACAUAUUAGAUAUUAAGAAUAGCCAUGACACAUUUUCCUGAAGGUGGAGUUCUACUCGUAAUACUACAAUGGAUAGAUAAAUGACUGAUGUCAUGAAUCAUCUUACAAUAAAUACUCUCAGAUAAGAUGAAUGUAGUGCAUUUUUUAAAAUUUACUUCUAGGAGUAAUAAAUAUUUAUGGAUAAAUGAUUUGUUUGAUAACAAUCAUGGCCAAG